ACUGGCAUAUGCAUACUGAGGUAUAUGGAACUAUUGGCCAUUGGGGACCUGCUGUAUAGCAAAGAAAACUCUACCCAGAAUUCUAAGGAUAAUCCAUGUGGGAAAAGAAUCUGAGAGAGAAUCAAUGUAUGUACCUGUAUGACUCAGUCACUUUGUUGAACAGCAGAAAUUAUUACAGUCUUAUAAAUUAACUGUACUUCAAUAAAACUUUAAAAAAAAUUUUUUAAAAAGGAAAUUCCCAUCAUGGCUCAAUGGUAAUGAACCCAACUAGUACCCAUGAGGAUGCAGGUUCAAUCCCUGGCCUCACUCAGUGGGUUAAGGAUUCAGCAUUGCCAUGAGCUGUAGUGUAGGUCACAGACACAGCUUGGAUCCUGCAUUGCUAUGGCUGUGGUGUAGGCCAGUGGCUGUAGCUCUGUUUCAACCCCUAGCCUGGGAAUCUCCAUAUGCCUAUGGGUGCGACCCCAAAAAAAAGACAGGAACCGGGAAAUGAAAGGACAAGUCUUGUACAAAAAUCUGCAAAAGUUAUUCUAACUAGGGGAAUUGUGAAUACAUCUGCACUCUGACUUUUGUGAAGACAGGAAAAGGAGAGUGAUAGUUCAUGAGAUGCUCGUAGGCAGGAAAAGAACAUUUAUUCUGAGUAUAUUUAUGACAAAGUAAUGCAGCUCAACUACAUGGAAUAAUAACAUGCUGUGUUGUGCUAUCUCAAGCAAGACUAAACUGAAUUUUUGGCUUACUCCUUGCUGACCACAAUUGUGCAAAAAAACAGUAAGUUCUACUGAGCAAAUGCCUCACAUUCUAGACUUUGAGAAAUGCACACUCUCAAAACAUACUGAUUUCAAAUGAUAUGUCCUCACCAACCAGAUGAAACAGUAAUUGAAAUGCCAACAAAAACUUAUGCAUCAAGUUUUACUUGAAAUAAAGAAAGGAAUGGAGUUCUUAUAUCCCCAAAAUAUUUCCAUUAAAUCACCAUUGCUUUCUCUUAGGCUAGCUGAAUUGUCAGUUCAAACUUUUCUGACUCAUCAAUGCCAAUAAUUUAUCAACCCAUAAGACUGAAUCUUAGAUAUAGAAAUGUAAAAUAUAUCAGGAUAAGAAAUAUAAAAAGGCCUUAAGAAAAUAUUAAUUGUAUCUUGUCUCCAUUGCAUUUCUUUACUUUCCUGGCACUGUGCAUUAUAAUUUUUUAAACUUUAUGACAAUUCAUAAAUUAGAAUUAUAUUUUUAUUUAUUUUUUUAUUACUCAGAUGAAUUUAUCAUGCCUGUAGUUGUAUAAUGAUCAUAACAAUCGAAUUUCACAGGAUUAUAUUUUUGAACACUCCUAUAGGAAAGAAGAUGUUCAAAGACAUUUUUCUUUUCUUAUCAAAAUACAUUACAUACUUGCCUUAGUUUUUGCUGCAAUUUGUCCUUUUCCUAAUUGAUGGUUCACAUUUUGAUUGAAUGUAACAUUUUAUGUACAGAGUAUUUGAUUUUUUUUUAAUUUACACAAUCUUUUGUUUUGGUUUUUCCUAUUAUCCCAACAAGGUCCUCCUACCUCACAUCAAAUUAAAUAUACAUUAUUAAGCUAUUUGGAUUUUUUCUUUUCUUUUUUCUUUUUCUUUUUUUUUUUCUUUUUUUUUUUCUCUAGGGCCACAUCUGAGGCACAUGGAGGUUCCCAGGCUAGGGGUCAAAUUGGAGCUGUAACUGCAGGCUUAUGCCACAGCAACACUGGAUCUGAGCCACAUCUGCGAUCUAGAAAUUGAACAAGUAUUGAUUGAGCACCUAAAAUGAAGUGGCCUAUUCAAAAAUAUAGGAUCCUUCAAAUGAAAACUGAAACAUGCAUUCAUUAAAAUUAUGUCUUCACAAACUAAAACAUCUGGAUGGCUGGUGUUAAUUUACAAUUUUGUUCUGAAUGUUUAGCAUUGUGUGAAAGUAGCCACAUUUCAUAUUUAGGUUCACUUUAUGAAAGAGAAAGCCAUGCAGUAGUCUGUAAUUCAGUUUGUAUAAGCUCUUUGAAUCAACUUCUACUUAACUAGCUCACUGGACUAAUCAAACUUUGCUUUCCUGUCUUAGAAUUUAUGCCAGCUGUGGUAGCAGGCAACUCUGACAUAUGUCUGCUCUUCUGUCUCACUCAAGCUGAAUGCCAAACAAGAAUAAAUUGUGUUUCUUCCCAAAACUGGUUAUUGCCCUUUGUAUUUAUUAUAUAAUUAAUCUAUAAUUUGAUUGAAUAGUAUGUAAACUGAAGAAAUAAUGUGAAAAAAUUGUUUCUCUGAAUAACUCAUUGACUGCUUUGGAAAAACAAUAAAAUUGAGUAUAAAAUUGCUGUUGAUUUGGUUGUGGGAAAAACAGCUUUAAAAAGAUAGGGAACAAUGGAGUUUCCAUGGUGGCUCAGUGGUUAACAAAUCUGACUAGGAACCAUGAGGUUGCGGGUUCGAUCCAUGGCCUUGCUUAGUGGGUUAAGGAUCCCAUUGCUGUGAGCUGUGGUGUAGGUUGCAGAUGUGGCUUGGAUCCCAAGUUGCUGUGUCUCUGGUGUAGCCCGGUGGCUACAGGUCUGAUUCGACCCCUAGCCUGGAAACCUCCAUAUGCCUCGGUAGCAGCCCUAGAAAAG
rnacentral:lncRNA from 1 species